rnacentral:rRNA from 1 species
UAUCUCUGUAGAGUCUGCAUAUCAAUAAGCGGAGGAAAAGAAACUAACAAGGAUUCCCUUAGUAACGGCGAGUGAAGCGGGAAGAGCUCAAAUUUGAAAUCUUCAAGGUUCUACCUUGACGAAUUGUAGUUUAAAGAAGUGUUUUCUGUUAGUGGAGUGGCAAAAGUUCUUUGGAAUAGGACAUCAUAGAGGGUGAGAAUCCCGUAUUUGGUCAUUCCUCCUAGCGUUGUGAUACACUUUCAACGAGUCGGAUUGUUUGGGAAUGCAGUCCAAAAUGGGUGGUAAAUUUCAUCUAAAGCUAAAUAUUGGCGAGAGACCGAUAGCGAACAAGUACCGUGAGGGAAAGAUGAAAAGAACUUUGAAAAGAGAGUUAAACAGUACGUGAAAUUGUCAAAAGGGAAGCGUUUGACACCAGUGUUGUUUUUCCGAAAAUCAAUUACGAAUGGCUUGAUUUUGUGUUGUAUUGACCUUAUCAGCUUUCUGCACUUUUUUCGAGUCUUUCUUAAUGCACUUUUCGGUUAACAAGUCAACAUCAAUUUCUUUUGUUGUAAAAGAGUAUUCGGAAGGUGGCUUUCUUUUCGGAGAAAGUGUUUAUAGCCCUAUACUUCUACAAUCGGAGAGAUUGAGGUCUGCAGCGUAGAUCCUUCGGGGUUAGAUACAUUUGUGCUAAGUUGUAGCUUUUCAUAGACAACUUGUUGACUAUGUUUAGUCAUGCGGCUUACUCGCUUAUGCUAUUUUACCUACGCUUAGGAUGUUGACUGAUAUGUAGUCGUA